rnacentral:rRNA from 1 species
UGGGGAAUAUUGCACAAUGGGGGAAACCCUGAUGCAGCCAUGCCGCGUGUGUGAAGAAGGCCUUCGGGUUGUAAAGCACUUUCAGCGAGGAGGAAAGGUGGCUAGCUAAUACCUAGUUGCUGUGACGUUACUCGCAGAAGAAGCACCGGCUAACUCCGUGCCAGCAGCCGCGGUAAUACGGAGGGUGCAAGCGUUAAUCGGAAUUACUGGGCGUAAAGCGCACGCAGGCGGUUAUAUAAGUCAGAUGUGA